rnacentral:rRNA from 1 species
UACGAAGGGUGCAAGCGUUAAUCGGAAUUACUGGGCGUAAAGCGCGCGUAGGUGGUUCAGUAAGUUGGAAGUGAAAUCCCCGGGCUCAACCUGGGAACUGCUUUCAAAACUGCUGAGCUAGAGUACGGCAGAGGGUGGUGGAAUUUCCUGUGUAGCGGUGAAAUGCGUAGAUAUAGGAAGGAACACCAGUGGCGAAGGCGACCACCUGGACUGAUACUGACACUGAGGUGCGAAAGCGUGGGGAGCAAACAGG